rnacentral:rRNA from 1 species
GUAGCAAUACGGGAGUGGCAGACGGGUGAGUAACGCGUGGGAACAUACCCUCCGGUUCGGAAUAGCUCAGGGAAACUUGGAUUAAUACCGGAUACGGCCGUGAGGCGAAAGAUUUAUCGCCGGAGGAUUGGCCCGCGUUCGAUUAGCUUGUUGGUGAGGUAACGGCUCACCAAGGCGAUGAUCGAUAGCUGGUCUGAGAGGAUGAUCAGCCACAUUGGGACUGAGACACGGCCCAAACUCCUACGGGAGGCAGCAGUGGGGAAUAUUGGACAAUGGGCGCAAGCCUGAUCCAGCCAUGCCGCGUGAGUGAUGAAGGCCUUAGGG